GGCAAGAUGGCCGAGUGGUCUAAGGCGUGUGACUCAAGCGAAUUUUAAAAGCUUGCCAGCGAAUGUUGGUUUUCUCAUAGCGAAAGCUGCGAGGGUUCGAAUCCCUCUCUUGUCA
rfam:Phlebia centrifuga strain FBCC195 PHLCENscaffold_1261, whole genome shotgun sequence.